CAAUAGCGUAUAUUUAAGUUGUUGCAGUUAAAAAGCUCGUAGUUGGAUUUCGGAUGGGAUUUGCCGGUCCGCCGUUUCGGUGUGCACUUGCUACGCCCACCUUGCUGCCGGGGACGUGCUCUUGAGUUCACGCUCGGGACACGGAGUCGGCGAGGUUACUUUGAGUAAAUUAGAGUGUUCAAAGCAGGCCUACGCUCUGAAUACAUUAGCAUGGAAUAACACGAUAGGACUCUGGCCUAUCUUGUUGGUCUGUAGGACCGGAGUAAUGAUUAAGAGGGACAGUCGGGGGCAUUCGUAUUUCAUUGUCAGAGGUGAAAUUCUUGGAUUUAUGAAAGACGAACUACUGCGAAAGCAUUUGCCAAGGAUGUUUUCAUUAA
rnacentral:rRNA from 1 species